AAACUCCACAAUGCACGAAAGUGUGAUGGGGCCAUCCCGAGUGCUGUCCGCUGAGGACAGCUUUUCUAUGCUGUAAGGAGGCGUGGGAAUAAGGAGAGGGCAAGCCUGGUGUCAGCCGCCGCGGUAAUACCAGCUCUCCGAGUGGUAGGGAUGAUUAUUGGGCUUAAAGCGUCCGUAGCCGGCUCUUCAAGUCUUUCGUUAAAGCCAGCGAUUUAAUCGUUGGACUGCGGGAGAUACUGCUGGGCUAGGGGGCGGGAGAAGUCGACGGUAUUUCCGGGGUAGGAGUGAAAUCCUAUAAUCCCGGGAGGACCACCAGUGGCGAAGGCGGUCGACUAGAACGCGCUCGACGGUGAGGGACGAAAGCUGGGGGAGCGAACCGG
rnacentral:rRNA from 1 species